CCUACGGGAGGCAGCAGUGAGGAAUAUUGGUCAAUGGACGAGAGUCUGAACCAGCCAAGUCGCGUGAAGGAUGAAUGCACUAUGGGUUGUAAACCUCUUUUAUAUGGGAAUAAAACGUUCCACGUGUGGGAUUUUGUAUGUACCAUAUGAAUAAGGAUCGGCUAACUCCGUGCCAGCAGCCGCGGUAAUACGGAGGAUCCGAGCGUUAUCCGGAUUUAUUGGGUUUAAAGGGAGCGUAGGUGGAUUGUUAAGUCAGUUGUGAAAGUUUGCGGCUCGACCGUAAAAUUGCAGUUGAAACUGGCAGUCUUGAGUACAGUAGAGGUAUGCGGAAUGCGUGGUGUAGCGGUGAAAUGCUUAGAUAUCACGAAGAACUCCGAUUGCGAAGGCAGUUCACUGGACUGCAACUGACACUGAGGCUCGAAAGUGUGGGUAUCAAACAGGAUUAGAUACCCCGGUAGUC
rnacentral:rRNA from 1 species